GACGAACGCUGGCGGCGUGCCUAACACAUGCAAGUCGAACGGACUGAGGGCCUUCGGGCCUAAAGUUAGUGGCGAACGGGUGAGUAACGCGUGGGUAACCUGCCCUUGUAACGGGGAUAACUUGCUGAAAGGUGAGCUAAUACCGGAUUCUCUAUUGAGAUUGCAUGAUCUUAAUAGAAAAGGUGGCCUCUGAAUAUGCUACCGUAUAAGGAUGGACCCGCGUCUGAUUAGCUAGUUGGUGAGGUAACGGCCCACCAAGGCGACGAUCAGUAGCCGGCCUGAGAGGGUGAACGGCCACACUGGGACUGAGACACGGCCCAGACUCCUACGGGAGGCAGCAGUGGGGAAUCUUCCGCAAUGGACGAAAGUCUGACGGAGCAACGCCGCGUGAGUGAAGAAGGUCUUCGGAUUGUAAAACUCUGUUUUUUGGGAAGAACGGCUCAUAUGUGGAUAAUGUAUGGGAUUGACGGUACCAAAGGAGGAAGCCCCGGCUAACUACGUG
rnacentral:rRNA from 1 species